rnacentral:rRNA from 1 species
AACUCUCAACAACGGAUAUCUUGGCUCCCGUAACGAUGAAGAACGCAGCGAAAUGCGAUACGUAGUGUGAAUUGCAGAAUUCCGUGAACCAUCGAAUCUUUGAACGCAAAUUGCGCUUGAGGCCUCGGCCAAGAGCAUGUCUGGCUCAGCGUC